GUCUGCGGCCAUGCUACCCUGAACAAGCCCGAUCCCAUGUGAUCUUGGAAGCUAAGCAGGGGCUGGGCCUGGUUAGUACUUAGAUAGGAGACCACCUAGGAAGACCAGGUGCUGUAGGUG
rnacentral:rRNA from 1 species